UGGGGAAUUUUGGACAAUGGGCGAAAGCCUGAUCCAGCAAUGCCGCGUGAGUGAAGAAGGCCUUCGGGUUGUAAAGCUCUUUUGUCAGGGAAGAAACGGUGAGAGCUAAUAUCUCUUGCUAAUGACGGUACCUGAAGAAUAAGCACCGGCUAACUACGUGCCAGCAGCCGCGGUAAUACGUAGGGUGCAAGCGUUAAUCGGAAUUACUGGGCGUAAAGCGUGCGCAGGCGGUUUUGUAAGUCUGAUGUGAAAUCCCCGGGGCUCAACCUGGGAAUUGCAUUGGAGACUGCAAGGCUAGAAUCUGGCAGAGGGGGGUAGAAUUCCACGUGUAGCAGUGAAAUGCGUAGAUAUGUGGAGGAACACCGAUGGCGAAGGCAGCCCCCUGGGUCAAGAUUGACGCUCAUGCACGAAAGCGUGGGGAGCAAACAGGAUUAGAUACCUAGGUAGUCCCUGAGCGGGCUGGCAAGGCGCAU
rnacentral:rRNA from 1 species